rnacentral:lncRNA from 1 species
CGCUCGUCCCCGCAGGAGCCCGGGGCUCCGCCGCACCCAGCGCUAGGGCCCAGGCCGGGCCGCGGCAUCUAGAACACUGAGAAAUCCAGGAUGGACACUUAACACUACCAAAGAUUGAUCUAUUUUGGAGUUAGUUCUUUAGAUCAGAGGUCCCCAACCCCAGGACUGCGGACUGCCACUGGUCUUUGGCCUGUCAGGCACCCGGCCACACAGCUGGAGUGUGAAAAAAAAGGAAAAAACUGAAAAUCUCAAGAGGAUUCCAGGAAAUCAAAACAAUGAAUUAUUGAAUCAAGAAUUUGAAAGAGAAAAUAGAUGCAUACUGAAAAAAGAAUUUUGUUUAGUGAGAUAGAUGUAAUAAUGAAGGCAUGUUGAUAACGGGGGAGCUAUGUAUAUAUGAGGGGAGGGAUAUAUUGGAAAUCUCUGUAUCUUCCUCUCAAUCUUGCUGUGAUCCUAAAACUGCUCUAAAAAAUAUUUUGAG